GAUGAACGCUGGCGGCGUGCCUAAUACAUGCAAGUCGAGCGAACAGACGCUGCUCUUGCUGCUCUCACGUUAGCGGCGGACGUGUGUGUAACGCGUGUAUACCCUCCCUGUAAGACUGGUAUAACUUCGAGACACCGGAGCUAAUCCCGGAUAAUCUCUUGAACCGCAUGGUUCGAUAGUGAAAGACGGUGUUGCUGUAACUUCUAGAUGGUUCCGCGCUGCUUGAGCUAGUUGGUAAGGUAACGGCUUACCAAGGCAACGAUGCGUAGCCGACCGGCGAGGGGGAUCGGCCACACUGGAAGUGAGACACGGUCCAGAGGACUACGGGAGGCAGCAGUAGGGAAUCGGCCGCAAUGGGCGAAAGCCUGACGGAGCAACGCCGCGUGAGUGAUGAAGGUCUUCGGAUCGUAAAACUCUGUUAUUAGGGAAGAACAUAUGUGUAAGUAACUGUGCACGUCUUGACGGUACCUAAUCAGAAAGCCACGGCUAACUACGUG
rnacentral:rRNA from 1 species